GACGAACGCUGGCGGCGUGCUUAACACAUGCAAGUCGAACGGAAAGGCCCUGCUUUUGUGGGGUGCUCGAGUGGCGAACGGGUGAGUAACACGUGAGUAACCUGCCCUUGACUUUGGGAUAACUUCAGGAAACUGGGGCUAAUACCGGAUAGGAGCUCCUGCUGCAUGGUGGGGGUUGGAAAGUUUCGGCGGUUGGGGAUGGACUCGCGGCUUAUCAGCUUGUUGGUGGGGUAGUGGCUUACCAAGGCUUUGACGGGUAGCCGGCCUGAGAGGGUGACCGGACACAUUGGGACUGAGAUACGGCCCAGACUCCUACGGGAGGCAGCAGGGGGGAAUAUUGCACAAUGGGCGGAAGCCUGAGGCAGCAACGCCGCGUGCGGGAUGACGGCCUUCGGGUUGUAAACCGCUUUCGCCUGUGACGAAGCGUGAGUGACGGUAAUGGGUAAAGAAGCACCGGCUAACUACGUG
rnacentral:rRNA from 1 species